rnacentral:rRNA from 1 species
GACGAACCGUGCGAACGUUAUUCGGAAUCACUGGGCUUAAAGCGUGUGUAGGCGGGCCCCUAAGUACCUUGUGAAAUCCCACGGCUCACCCGUGGAACCGCUGGGUAUACUGGGGGCCUUGGGCCACUCAGGGGCGACUGGAACAAGCGGUGGAGCGGUGAAAUGCGUAGAUAUCGCUUGGAACGCCGAAGGUGAAAACAGGUCGCUGGGAGUGCGCCGACGCUGAGACACGAAAGCCAGGGGAGCAAACGGG